CCCUUAGAUGUCCUGGGCCGCACGCGCGUUACACUGAUGCAUUCAACGAGCUUAUAACCUUGGCCGAGAGGCCUGGGCAAUCUUGUUAACGUGCAUCGUGAUAGGGAUAGAUUAUUGAAAUUAUUAAUCUUGAACGAGGAAUUCCUAGUAAACGCAGAUCAUCAAUCUGCAUUGAUUACGUCCCUGCCCUUUGUACACACCGCCCGUCGCUCCUACCGAUUGAAUGAUCCGAUGAAUAUCAUGGAUUGAGGAUGCAAGUAGGUUCACCUAUCUUCAUCUUCGAGAAGUGAAGUAAAUCUUAUCAUUUAGAGGAAGGAGAAGUCGUAACA
rnacentral:rRNA from 1 species